GCACCUGGGUUGUCUCGAGCCUGCGGUAGUGGCCAGAUCCCAGACAUCCGAGUAGAUCCCGUGAAAAGGUCUCCCACGUGGGCUGUGGACAGGGCCCAAGGGUAGCAGAGCUAGCAGAGGCAGUGACGGACUGUGUGGCAGGUCAUUUGCAAGGAGAAAAGCCGUCUGCCUCUUAAUUUGUGGCUCAAGUUUCAGAAUUUUUUUCCUGAGGGACUUUAGAAAUUACUUCAGGCUUGCCACCUAACCUUAAACCACCCCCUUGGAGACUGGCUAAGUGUUAUUUGUGUUUUCUGUUUAGUUCUUAUCACCAUCGAUACUUGGUUAUGACUGGUUGUGUACAUUGGUUAGCCCAGCAAGUAUUACUUCUCCAGCUUAACAGAUGUGGAAACUUAAGCCCAGAGACAUGAGUUGACACCCCACCCCCAAAGCUAGAGUCUAAAACCCUUUCUUUCGCUCCUCAUCUCCCACAGGAUAAAAUGCAAAUUAAUCAGACUAGUGGUGAGGCCCUCCGUGGUGUGACUAACCUGCAUCCCGACGUUUUCACCCUACUUUGAUCCAGAAAGCACCUUUCCGCCCCAUCUCUUCUCCUUUCCUUAAAUACCCCUUACAACUUCCUGUACCAUUCUUCCCUGUUCAGCUUCUUCUUGGUUUCUUCGUACAUUCUGGAUCCACCCCUUUCAUGCAUAUUCCAGACCACAUUUCCACUGGAGCAGUUGAAAUGAGAGAGAUGGGAAUGGGACUCACCCGAACCAGAGGUAAGGAGCUACCCAACUUGGGCUCUGAGGGUCAAGGGAGCUGGCACUUGUGGGGCAGAGACUGAGGGAGAAACUGUUGUGUAAUGUCAAAAUAUCUCUGGGUUUCUUCCAGGAAUUUUUAUUACAGACCCAUUAACAGAGGUGUCAAAGUCACAGGAACAAGGAUGUGCACCUCAGAAACACAGAGGCUAGCCUGGCUGAAGCUCAGCUGCACAGAGUCUGUCCUGAGAAGCAGAAUGCCACUGUCCCCUGGGCCCUCCAGACUGCCAAGGCUGCUCAGUUUCAGAGAGCAGGCUCCCUGUGGCCUCACACGCCGGCUGCCAGCUGGGCCAGGUAACUCUGGCCAGGCUGCACUGUGAAGAACACGAGAGUCGGCGGAGACCUGUGCCUGCUCUUCUCAGCCUCAAUGUCUGGAAGACAAAAAAAGGCAUCCUGCUCCCAAGAUUGUGGUGGAGGCCAGCAGGGUGACGCACAUGAAAGCCACUGGAGAUAGAUGGCACUUGUUCCCACCCACUGCCCACAACAGGCCCAGGACUGCCUCAGCCCCGGUGGACCCCAGAGCCAGCAGGCCCUUCAGAAUGGAAGGUGCCAAACACCAUCGGAAGGCGUGGUUCUUUUCAGAGAACCAGACUCUGAGACUGUGGCCUCCCACUAUGAGUCACCACCUCUGAUUCCUGAGGUCCCCUCCAGUCAUUGGCUCUCUCCCAAGCCAGCCAGCUGAUCAGCCUUGAGGACAGCAGAGUGUCUGCCAAGAGAGAUCUGUGAAGUUUCCCAUCACCGUGGCAGUCCACAAUGUGAAGCCCCUGAGGCCACCCUUCUCCAUGUGUCCCCCACACUGUCCCUGACCCUCCCACCAUCCUAGAAAACCAGCCUCCCAGGUCCUCUGUCAUGGAAGUAAUUUACAGCAAGGCAGAAAGAGCUGAAAGAUUUAUAAAUGUGUAAAAUUUACAAAGGUGUUUCUUUCUUUCUUUCUUUCUUUUUUUUUUUUUUUUUUUUUGAGGCAGAGUCUCACUCUGUUGCCCAGGCUGGAGUGCAGUGGCACAAUUUUGGCUCACUGCAACCUCCGCCUCCCGGGUUCAAGUGAUUCUCCUGCCUCAGCCUCCCAAGUAGCUGGGAUUACAGGUGCAUGCCACCACGCCUAGCUAAUUUUUGUAUUUUUAGUAGAGACAGAGUUUUUUGCCAUGUUGGCCAGGCUGGUCUUGAACUCCUGACCUCAGGUGAUCUGCCUGCCUCAGCCUCCCAAAGUGCUGGGAUUACAGGCGUGAGUCACCGUGCCCGGCCUACAGAGGUGUUUCUGAGUGGAGAAACCACUGCCUGGUUGGACUGACUGCCCAGUUCCACCACCCUGUGAGCCCAUGAGUGAGCUCACUGCACUUGUUAUAGACAUCCUACCACCAGCAGCCUGAUUUUGCUGAGUCCGUAGCUUACAACUCCAAUCUCAUGGCCCUGCCUUUCACCUCACUUGCUGCCUUAAAAACCUGCAGACUGAGGUGGCGUAGAAGCUGUGACAUCCCAGUACCCAGAAGUUCAUCUCACACCCAGAUCUUGGUUUCUAAAUGUCAUUCUCUACUAAAAGGGACCAGGGCUGGUACAGGAGAAGAGCAAGAGCUUGGAAUAUCUUAUACCUGAGAGUAAGGAAGUGCUCAGAGAAUCACAGGAGCACGUUAAAAGGACAUAGAAGUCAGUUUAAUGAGACUGCUUCUGGCCAAAGUUGGAACACAUCAAACAUUAAAACAAUGAUGGUAAUGGAUUAGAUUCCAUAGAAUAAAAUCCUUGAGGACAUAGUUAUAUAAACAUAACUGAGGAAGAAGGAAAAGCUCUCCCUAACAGAAUAAUACAACUAGUAAAUGGGAAAGGAAAGGAGUUAGGAAUUCACGCUGGGUAUUGAAACUAGUGGGUGAAAGCUCAAUGAAUCGGAUUCUUAGUCUCAAUGUCUCUCCUCUCAAUUUAGUAAUUAUAGUGGAGUAAUCAUGACUUUACAGUGGAGAAACCUGGCCAACACUACCUUCACAACACUAACAAAAACCUUGCAGACCUGCAGCCUAAGCUCCCAGAAGUCACCUGCUGAAAUGCCUUCAAAGAGUGACCUCUCUGCGUGUAGUGCUCAGCAACUUGGGCUCAGUGUCUAUUUCCACAAGCUACAAACCAGAAUACAGUGGAAUUCAGCCCAUAUGUGGUAAUUUAUCUACCAAUCAAGGACCUUUGACUCCAAAAAUUACCUUUUUUGUACAAGUGACUACCUGGUGUAGAGCUCAGACAUGGCUUUGAAUUUUUGCCAUGCUGUGUGAGCUCAGGCAAGCUGCUUCACCUCUUUGAGCUUCAAUCUUUUAUCUAUAAAAUGGGAAUAACAAUAACUUAAUGAAACAGCAAUUCCAGUGUUAGGUAUUUCCUCAGGAGAAAUGAAAACACGUUCACACAAAUAAUUGUACAUGUAUGUUUCUACACGCUUUAUUCAUAAUAGUCAUAAACAACCUAAAUAUUCAUCAACUGGUUAGCAGAGAAAAGAGCAAACCACUGAUGACAUGAACGAAUUUCAGAAGCACUGUGCUCAGUGAAAGAAGCCAGACAAAAAUUACAUCUUACAUAAAUUUCAUUUAUAUGAAAUUCUAGUGAAGGCAAAACAUAUAGCCAGGGGCCAAGAGGGGAGGAUGGUCUGCAAAGAGGCAGGAACUUCUUCCUGGGGUGAUGGGAAUAUUCUGUGUCAUGAACAUCGUGAUUGUGGUUACAAGACUAUACUUUUGUCAAAACUCAUCAAAUUGUACACCUAAAAUGGAUGCAUUAAGCCUCAAUACAGCCAAUAAAAGAUACCUACGUUACAGUA
rnacentral:lncRNA from 1 species